rnacentral:tRNA from 1 species
GAGUGUAUAGCUCAGCUGGUAGAGCAUUUGGCUUUUAACUAAAUGGUCGUAGGUUCGAAUCCUGCUACACUUA